GGUCGGUGAUGAGCCCGGCAUGUAUUACCUGAGACCCUGAUGCCAAAACUCAGCUCUAGAAUUACUCUGAGACCCC
rnacentral:snoRNA from 1 species